rnacentral:rRNA from 1 species
UGUGGUCCAAUGAAUGUUGAGGCUCGCGGUGGGUAUCGUUAUUUUCUCACCUUCACAGAUGAUUUGAGCAGAUAUGGGUAUAUCUACUUGAUGAAACACAAGUCUGAAACAUUUGAAAAGUUCAAAGAAUUUCAGAGUGAAGUGGAAAAUCAUCGUAACAAGAAAAUAAAGUUUCUACGAUCUGAUCGUGGAGGUGAAUAUUUGAGUUACGAGUUUGGUCUACACUUGAAACAAUGUGGAAUAGUUUCGCAACUCACGCCACCUGGAACACCACAACGAAAUGGUGUGUCCGAACGUCGUAAUCGUACUUUACUUGAUAUGGUGCGAUCUAUGAUGUCUUUUACUGAUUUACCGCUAUCGUUUUGGGGUUAUGCUUUAGAGACGGCCGCAUUCACGUUAAAUAGGGCACCAUCAAAAUCCGUUGAGACGACACCUUAU